rnacentral:rRNA from 1 species
UCCUACGGGAGGCAGCAGUGGGGAAUAUUGCACAAUGGGCGCAAGCCUGAUGCAGCCAUGCCGCGUGUGUGAAGAAGGCCUUCGGGUUGUAAAGCACUUUCAGUCAGGAGGAAAGGUUAGUAGUUAAUACCUGCUAGCUGUGACGUUACUGACAGAAGAAGCACCGGCUAACUCCGUGCCAGCAGCCGCGGUAAUACGGAGGGUGCGAGCGUUAAUCGGAAUUACUGGGCGUAAAGCGUACGCAGGCGGUUUGUUAAGCGAGAUGUGAAAGCCCCGGGCUCAACCUGGGAACUGCAUUUCGAACUGGCAAACUAGAGUGUGAUAGAGGGUGGUAGAAUUUCAGGUGUAGCGGUGAAAUGCGUAGAGAUCUGAAGGAAUACCGAUGGCGAAGGCAGCCACCUGGGUCAACACUGACGCUCAUGUACGAAAGCGUGGGGAGCAAACGGGAUUAGAUACCCCGGUAGUCCACGCCGUAAACGAUGUCUACUAGAAGCUCGGAGCCUCGGUUCUGUUUUUCAAAGCUAACGCAUUAAGUAGACCGCCUGGGGAGUACGGCCGCAAGGUUAAAACUCAAAUGAAUUGACGG